UCCAGGGUAGGAUAUCUGGUUGGAGAUCCCACCUUGUUGAAGCUUUCUCUUGUAAGAUUGGAAUCUUCUGCUACAGAGUUCUAGGAGCAAAAAGGAGUCUGGAUCUCUUUCUUUUGAGCUUCAGCCAUAGAAGUACAUGGAAACUAAGGCAGAAUGGAAGCAAAAUAACUAAAUGAAUACUAACGUAAAUAAAUUCAAGGUUUUGGAGGAGGAGGUCAGCAAGAAGAAUGGAGUGGAACAAGCUGUUGCAACAGCUCUCAGUAUUGUUCUGUGUCUUGGAACUGCAGGUUUUCCACAAAAGAAAAUUUGGCUGUGUCAAGGUAAACAAGUACUGAGUCUGCAGGAAAUAAGCUGAAAAAUUGCAAGAAAUCUUUGAAAUACUUCUGUGUGCCUAAAAUCAGAGACAAAAUUGCUACAUAGGAGAAGCAGUCCUGACCUGGCUUCCAGUGCGGAUAACUGGCAAUAAGCUGAGACAUGUAUAGCGUCCUACUACGUUGUAAGAGAUUGAAUUCUCAAGGAACAGGUGAAAUGCAUCCUUAGUGAAGUCAACCAUAAUAAAUUCUAAAACUGCAGGGUGAUUUUGUGACCGGUGAUGAAUUCUGUGCAAUAAUAUUACACUGCAGAGACAUAACUACAAAGAAAAAGGAAACUCUGAUCAGUUUUGUCUUGACAUUGAACGGGGCAGGUGUGUCCACAUAAGGUGCAACAGAGAGGAUUUGCAUGCUGGCUUGCUGAAGUGACAGAAUUGUGCAAAAUAACUGCAGUGGUCUGGCAAGCUUCAGGAAGCAGGAAAAAGAUUGCUCAAAUUGAAACAUCUAGGAAAUCAUGAAAAUUUCAUCAGGGAGCGUUUUCAGAAUGGAUACAAUGCAGGUGAAGAGACCAGAAUGGUCAGCAAUCUGGUAAUUAGAAAACUUACCUGAGAGCAUUUGAAGUACUGAUUAGAAUCUAGCCGUGCAGAUCACAAGGAUGUGGCUGAACAAAGAGGCAGUAGCUAUUCUGAGGUGGUUUUCUUUCUCAAAAACAAUGAAUUACAAGAAGAUAAUUGGGAGCAGUCAACAAGGACUUGAGAGUGGUAAGUCUUACUAUACCAGCCUGAAAACUACUCAUCUAAAGAGGCAGUGGUGGAGAAGGGAGCUGUAGUGAAUGUACUAUAACUUGACUCAAGAAAGCUUUUUGCACUGUCUUCUUUUUCACAGUAAUCACAUUUGGAAAAUAAAGUUGGGGCUGAAUCAUUGGGUAGUUAAAGGGUCUGAAAAUUUGCGACCAUCAGGCUAAAGGGGUCAAUCAUUGCUUUAAUGUGGGAGUAUGAAGGGGUAAAUACUAAAGCUGUUCAUGUGAAAUGCCUUAAUCAGUCAUCUGGAUGACAGGGAAGUGGUGGAUUCACCAUUGUUGGAAGUAUUUAAGAGGUGUGUGGAUACGGUGCUUAGGUUUAGUGGUAGUCUUGGUUGUAUUAUUGGUUAAUUUGAUAGUUGGACUUGAUCUUAAGGGUAUUUCCAACCUAAGUGAUUGUAUGAAGCAAGUGAAUACACAGUUGGCCAAAUUGCAGAUGAUCCUAAUUGCAGGUGUGUUAUGGCAAAAGAUAGAACUUCAGUGCAAAGAAAUCCAGAAAAAUUUGAGAAUCUGGCCAACAGAAACUUCAUAAAGAUCAACAAAAUGAAGAUCAAAGUUUGUGGUGGGUUGGAAAAACAUUAUGCCUUUAUAAAUACUGGGAUCCCACUGACUAAGAAACAGCCAGCCCUGAUGGAAACCUGGAGUUACAAGGGAUGCAAGACUGAAUGUGAGCAAGCAGUGCCCUCUUACUGUGAAUAAGGCAAAUCACAUACUGGGCUACAUUAUAUGUCAUCUUGUUACUGUUGUGGCUGCACCUCAAAUAUCACAUCUGGUUUCAGGCCCUUCAGGUCAAGGGAAAUGUUGGCAAACUGGAGAAGACUCAUCAGAGGGUUGUCAAGAUAUUUAGGGACUUAGGACAUCAGCCCUCGGUAGAGAGAUUGUGGUAAAUGCAUUUGCUUUAUCUGGCAGCGAUCCUAAUAGCAGCCUACAGCCAUAGAAGUAGAAGAGGAAUUGCAGAGAUGACAGAGGCAGUCUCUUCCCAGUCGAUGACAUGACACGGAACAAUAGCUAUGAAUAGUGGCUUGGGAGGUUUGAAUGAAGCCUUCAUAUCAAGCCUGCCAAUGCAGAUUGUGAUUGUGCUUUUCAUUCUCUCACAUUUCACAAUCAUUUAUUUUAAUAUCAUUAACAUUUCAUGUCAUUCAGUUGCUUUUAACACAGAAUGAGUUUAAACCAAGUGAAAAUUUCUAUAGUCAAUUACUCCUUCAGGUUCUCUUGUCAUGUCAGUGUAUUUAAGUCUCUUAGGGGAACAGUCAGAUCUCUUUUUUUGCACAGUGAAAUGAAUGGAAGGUAAAAUAUCAGCUUGGAAUUCCCCAGGAAAAGGAUUUCAGUCAGCUUUUGUAACAGGCUUUAAGCAGAUUCAAACAGGUUUUUAAUUUAUGGAUUUAUAGCACAUGCAAUGCAUCUGUAUUCACCCCAGUAGACACGAACAGUUCUGUCUAAGGUAUUAAAGUCUGUUGGGUUAAUGAUCAACUGAUUGAAAAUUCUCAAUAGGCUUUGAUAUAAUAGACUAUCAUAUUCUAUUAAGUAAACCAUACAAGAUUAUUUAAAAUUAUAAUUCUGAUUAAGAGCUAUUUUUCCUGAAAUAUAAUAGAGAGAUCUGGAAAAUAAAUUGCUAAUAGAAUUGCCAGAAUAAUUUACUGUUGCAUGACAUGAAAGUGGCUUAAAUCUCUACUGGCAGAUGAGCACACACAGUAAUGGUUCAAAAUAAUCAUUACUACUUAAUCAUGACACUUUCUGCUGGAGGAGGUAGUUAUAAUUUUCCAAAAUGAUACACUUACAUUUCCUCAACUCCUUCUCUUCUUCCUCUUAAUGGCAUAUUUCAAGUGACAAGACUCAUACUGAAAUGAAAUUUAUUUGUAUCAGUUAGUGAAUUAAUGGAAUGACCACAAAAUAGUUGUUGAAACUUAACUAAAAUAAUGAAAAGCAUUUCAAACCAUAGUUAUGACUUUUACCAUCACUGACUUGGUAACUAAUAGCACAUUAUUACUAAUUAAUCAUUUAUAUUUUACUGAUAUGUUUACUGGUAGCAGUCUCUGACAUGGUGUUUCAUAUCCCAUUUCUAAUGUUCAGUUUUACUACACUACAUAUGCAUUAUUUUCCUUUUCUGGCAUGCAUUAGAAAACAAAGUUUUCUUACUGUUUUUUCUUAAUUUAUCAGUUAACCUUUUUCAGCAAAAACACCUGUAGACUCAAAGAGCUCUAAAAAUAAUAUUAGAAUUUACUGGGUGUAGGAGUGUCCAGUAAAGUCCUACAGUGGAAGGAGACUCAGUGGAAAUGGGCAAGGGAGAUGCCCAGAGAAUAAUGCAGGCUGUGACUUUGCUGUUGCAAAGAAGGCUGACUUUACCCCAGUACAAGGGGACAAGAGGUUGACUUUGUUUUGAGUAAAAACCUGUGUCUGUUGUUUGGAUCAAUUGAUUGUUUCAUAAGUGUUGUAAAUGUUUAUCACUGAGGUAGCCUGACAAGUGUGGGGAAAGUGAGUACAUUGCUUAGCCAAAUAUAAGGCAUAGAGAUUAGGUAUCUAGCAAAAGAGUUUCAAAAAGAGCAGCUGGCUUGUGCUGGUUUCAACCCACAUAUUUCUUCCUGGCUGCUGGGAUUACCAAGCAUUGUGGUGGUGAGUGAAACAGAGAUUAGUAAUGAGAAUGAUGUCAGUAUUGUGAUUGAACUGGGCAUUGCAGUUCCUAUAUUUUGCAAUGUGAAACUUACAUGUAUGUUGUGUUUUCAGUGUACUUUAUAUUUCACUGUGUGGAAUAUCAAAAAGGUCUGUUCAGAGAUGAUAGGAUUCUGAAAAGGUAAUGAAUGGUGUUGACCAAUUUUUUAAAUGAAAAGCACCGAAUGUGAGCUCAUCUGUUAUCCAUACGUGAAACUCCCAAACUACCUGAAUGUUUUAAAUUUUAAUUCAUUAGAUUCUUGGUAAAGCAAAGGCAAUUUGCAGGACAACUGUUCAGUGCAUGUACCAUUCAAUUAACAUUUUGGUACUAAUGGAUGAGUUAAAAUGAGAGAGGUGGUAGCUAAUGCCACCUUGCAAAGUAAUUUUUUCAUUGAAUUUUUUUUCAACAUAUUAUUGCUUUGGGACAGUGAUUGCCUUAAAAUCUGUGCUUCAUUAUUAGUCUUCCUUACUUUAACAGGACUGAGCUACUUAAAAAAUUCUGAUUUCACAAAUAUGUAGUGUUUAAAAUUCAUUUUUUUCCUUUAAAUCAUUAUAAUUAGUGGUAAUAUAUAUCAAGUAUGUUUGUGAGAGCAGGUUACUUCUUCAUGUUUCGGUAGUGGUUUCUGGUUGUUGGUUUUCUUUGGUCCUAUACUGAGCUUUGUUUUCCUUGUUUUUAUUGUGUUUUCUUUUUCUUUUUUCAAGUGUCCUUCACUGACAUACAGUUUGUUGUGCUACUUCCCUGACUUCUGGUCAGGACAGGAUGACUUACCUUCAUUCACCCCUUGCCUGUUAUGUGGCCAUUUGUUCACUAAUGUCAAACAUUUACUGUGGCAUGUUAGGUCAAACCAUAAGAGGUGGGCUUCUUUUGACACUAACUCAUGGAAAAUGCCUUUCCUGUGGAAUCAUCAUAACAGUUAAAGCAUUGUAACAUCUUCCUUUAGAUCAGUUAUGCAUUAUUGUCUUUGUGCCUAUAAGAUAAGUGAAACAUGACUCUAAACCUGAAUUUUCUGACCAGUGUUUCUUGCUUAUGUUUGCCCAUGCAGUUCCAGGCUAUGUCCUGAAUGUACAAAUGCUCACAAGAUGCUACACUGGGAUUAGAAAUUAUAAUUUAUCAACAGACAUAUUGUUCCUUACCACUAGAAAAAUAUUUUUAAUGUACCAAAGCUAGUUGUUAUAUUCAAAAGAAGAACUUACUAAUCUGUGAUAGAUCAAGCCUGGGUCAGGCUGUCUAAAAAGCUCUUGAGUUUUGUAUCAAAUCAGUAAUUAUUGAAAUACCUUGAAAAAUAUACCUCACCUUUAGGUUUUGUAGAAUAAUACUUUUACUGAUAUAUAUAUAUUUUUCUUUUCUUAUUCAGAGCUACAGUUGUAGGUAGUAGAUUAAAAGUACAUAGGUUGCUCUGAAAGUAAUGCUUCUUAUUUAUUCCCAUGGGAGCUAGAACAGAUAAAGCAUAAUUAAGGUUAUUUGCUAGAGCAAAUAGUUUGGUCUCUAUAAACAUUCAACAAGCACUGAUGAAUGUCAAUGGGUGACACUUUUUCCGCACAGAAGAAUUCAGUGAUACGCCUUAGUUUUAUAGGCACUCCCAGGUCAGAUGCCAUUCUGUCAGACUGCCCUUCUGCUGCCAUCUGUUACAUGGCAACAAAACGUAAUGGAGUAUUAGUGAGAAGGUUCAACCUUUACUGUCAUACCACCAACAUUUUCCUCUCGCAUUGUGGGCCAACGUAGUAAAAUAGGAGGCAUUGAUUUUGGAGUAUUUGUAGUAGAAAGUGAAACAAUAUAUAGAAAAAUCACCUACUUCAGAGUUAUAAGAGAACUGCAGUGCAAAUAAGAUAGCAUUUGGCCCACAGGCUGUGACAAUAAUUAAAGGAGUUACUGAGAUCAUGUGCUAAUUUCGUAUGUCAAGGAAAUACUGGCAAUUGCAUCUGAAAGGGCAUAAUGUGUUGUUUUGAAGUUUAUAUACAGGGUAGAAACAGUGAAUUUUAGAUGAUCUUGACAGCUUGCUAUAGUUUACAAGCAAAAACAAAUAAAGUUAAAAUUAAUUUACUUGAUAUAAGAGAUCUAGAAGAAAUGAUUUUGUUCUUUUAUAAAAACUACAGAGAAAAAGAUUUAGAAUUGUAGAACUGAGAAAGAAAAUUACUCUGGGAAAAAUCAAUAAGGCUAUGCACAAGGGAGAAAGGGAUACUCGGCAUGAGUGAAGGGUUAGUAGAAAUAAACCUUUAGUGUGAAACUUAAUCCUCUGCUAAGUACCGACACAGACAUCACACAAACCAAUUAAGGACUAUUUAAGAAUGAUGUACCUUUUUAUUAAGUGUCUCUUAAAUGUAAAACUUGACGAGGUCCCAUCAGUCAAAUAUUCACUUAAAGGUGACCAAUAAAGGCAGAGGAAGAGCUUUCCUUUAAACUACUUUCUCUUUUGAUCAGGAGAAAACUAGCUGAGAAGCUUAAAAACAGUCUAUAGUAACAGGAGAUGAAAAAGGUAGUCUGUGAUUUUACAAGUACCUCGUUAAUUUAGAAUUUAGCAUUGAAUUUUGCCCUGCAAGACUGAAGUGCCUCAUAGAACAGUUUGUGACUUGUAAGAAAGAGUAUUAAUUGCUUAAUCAUUAAUUAUCUAUUCCAUAUUUCUGUGUCAUCAUUUAAUUCCAUUAAGUUUAAUAUUUAUACAUGUGUGGCCUUGAAGCAUUGCAUACAGAUAGUAAUGGAAUACACAGUGAUCAGUGAACCAGUAAUGACACAAAACAUAGUCAAUUUCAUCAGUAUUAUUUUAUCUGUUUGCAGCAUUACAAUAGAAAACUGGAUCACACUUGGAGAUGCAUUUUUAGAGAUCGUAAAGUAUGACCAGACAAAAUGAUUUCUAGAGGAACAAAAUGCCAUGACAAUAAUAUUGUAUCUUGGUGGUGUAUUCUUAAAAAAAAAAAAAAAAAAAAAAAAAAAAAACAUGCCAAGUGCAACCCACCCAAAAACAGCAACAGAAAAAACAGAGAAGAAGCCAAGUUUCUAGCAAAUGAGUGUAAUAAUCAGAAACAUAGCAUUCCUCAUUUAUUAUAGUUCUUUCAAGACACCAUGAUGACAUAAGAGAUGCUUUUUAAGAGCUAAAUUUUCCUUUCCAGUACAGCUGUUCCCAGUUGUGAUUGAGAAAAAAUAUAGAAUGGACUGUGUAUGAUAUCUCAUAAAAAUGCAGCAAGCUAGUGAGAUUUACAUAAAAAGCACUUCAAGACUAUAAAGAUUUAGAAGAUAUGAACUGCCUUUACCAAUUCAUACCAGUGAGAUUCUCAUCCUAGUGUGGUUUUGUUUGGAAAGAGUAGGAAGCAGUUGGAAAAUAGUCCAGUGUUCAGAAGGGCAAUAGGGGUGUUCUGCAUUCUAUAUUUCAGUGAAAGAAAUAUCUCAUGCAAUUAUGGCCAGUGAAUUCAGGACACAUAAAAGGAAAUAGGUAGUCCAUGGAAUUUUCAAUGGAACAGAGAACAGAUAACGUGUACUUAUGUAAUAGGGCUGGGUAAUUUUUUAUUUACUAUUUACUAUUUGUUGCUGUGAUUGUACAGAUAAUCAAAUUUCAUGAGUCAGAGAAAUAUGAUGAAGAAGGAACACUUUUAUCUUUUUCUUACUGUCAUUUAGAUGUUUUAUGGUCCUAUAAAGUGUAAGAGGAGCUGUAGAAUAGUAGAUGGACCCGUUAUGACAAAUUCUGUAUUACUUGAUAUUUGAAUAUCCAGUGUAGUAUGCUCAUUUCUGUCAAACCUCACUAAAUAUUUCUACUUUAAGAGUUAGUUUGGACAAGCAAGGCUGAUAAACGUUAGAGCCAAAAUAAAACUAAGGAGCAGAGCUAAGUGACCCAUUAAAAAUAUCUUAGAAUUUUUUUAUACCUAUGACAUUUAAUAUAUAGGGCUGUAGUUCCAACUGAUUUCAGUGAUUCCUUGUGACUUACAGUACUUUAAAUGAAAGUGAGAUCAAUCAUUGCACAAAAAGAAAUUUUCAGUUGAGAUUUUUCUGUCUCAAUCCUGUGUUACAGAAGCUGAAGCAGCUUUUGUCACUUUUUGGUCAAGACAUUCUCUGUGAAAGGUUUGGGAGAGUUCUGUCACAUUUAUACUUUUUAACUGAAGGCAUCAUUUGCCACAGACUGUAUUCAGUGUCACACUCUUUAAAAGGAUUGCUCUUGGCAUCACAGCCUAAUGGUAUUACAAAUCCUGUCACAAUAUCAGUAGUGAACGAGUAAGAAAAGAAGAAAUAUUAGAAUGGUUCUCCAUAGUCAUAGAGAUUGGCAAAGAAUAAUCUGGCUCUUCUCUUGGUCAUACCAAUGAAAUGCUGUCAGUCUCAACUCCCUUGAUUUACAGUCUGAUUGCAACACCACUGGAAUCAAUCUUCACCCGUCCAAGGGGAGCAGAGAAUUCUCAUUUAAACACUCCACAGUGUACUAAGUAAGAAGAAACUUGAACUCAGUGUGUCAGCAGAUCAGUGGCAGGUUCACUUGUUUCAGAUUUAACAAAUUCAAUUGUAAUGAAGCAAAUUCAAGCUAAAGAUUGUUUUGGAUAAAUUACAAAGGAAGAUCAUAUAAUCCAACAACCUCCACCUAGACUUUUGUACACCAAGUGUAAUCUGUCAAAAAGACACCUAAGAAAGCAAUAAGCGGUGUCAAAUUUGAUCAUGUUAGACCACUGACUGCAGCCUGUCUGUCACAUAGCUCCACUAGAUAAUUGGAUAAGUAAUAACAUUUCUGAAAACCAAGUAAGAGAAUUUCCAAGACAGCAGAAGUUUUAAUUUUAGGAAAUUCUGUGAACUUUCUAAAUGGAAAUCAGGAAAGCCCUUUUUUCUCAAAAGAAAAUUACAUAAUUAUUCCAUUAGCAUUAAGACAUAUUUUUUAUUAUUGCAAAUGGAUUAUUCAUGUUAACAUGUGGCAUUUCAAUCAGCUGGGGACACAAGUAGUUCAACUGCAGCUUGUACCUCCUAAUUCACUGUGUAUGUAACGAACCCAUGACAAUCUCACCAACUGUGCUUUUUCUUUCAGUUAACUCCAUCAAUUUCACACAUCUCAUGAAGGGCACUUUGAGGUGGUGUGUAUACACUUCAAAUGACAUCUUUAUGCUCUCAGUAAAAACAAAUGUGUUUAAUAUGGCAAUCCUGACUAUGUUUGCCAAAAGAAUUGUACCAGCUCUGGCUGGGAUGGAGUUAACUUUCCCACAGUAGCCCACAUAGUGCUGUGCUUUGCACUUGGAGCUAGAAUAGUGUUGAUAUUACACCACCUUGAUGCCAGCAAUAAGAAUUCUAGUCUAUUGCUGAUAUUACAGAAAAUCAGGAGGAACGAGUAAGCAUAGCUCAAAUGGUAGAACCUAAAUAUAUUCAGGCUGUCCAAUAAUCUCUGAUUGAUUAGUCCUUAAUUACCUGCUUUUUAUUAUAACUUUCUUUAAGUAGACUGCAUUAAAUCUUUACCAAAAAAAAAAAAAAAUUAAGAGCAGUAGUAGAAAUAAAACAGUUGCAUUGUGCAAAUGCAAUUAGUCUUUCUUCUGUAAUGCCAGUAGAAAACAUACUGGCUCCCUGAGGUGUGUUUAAACAUUCUUUGAACUUUCUUGUGUCAUGCUCAACUGUGUAUGUCACACACUUCUAAAGAACAUGUAUAGUGGAAGCAAUCACUCCUAUUUGACUGCAAUAACACUUUGUUUAUCCUAGAAUAAUAAAACAGUUUCAGUGGAAAGGAGCAUUUAAAGAUCUAGUUCCAACCCACCUGCCAUGGACAGGACAUCUUCCUGUAGACCAGGUCCAUCGAAACCCCCAUCCAACCUGGCCUUGAAUAUUUCCAGGGAUGAAGCAUCCAUAACUUCACUGGGCAACCUGGUCCAGUGUCUCAGCACCCACAUAGUGAAAAAUUUCUUUCUUAAGUCUAAAAUCUGCAUCUACCCUCAAUUUGCCAAAAUCUAUGCAGGAACACCCAUAUUUAGUACAAUCUUUCAGUGAAACAUUUGUGACUCAUAUGAGAAGAUUGUUAUCUAGAAGGCAAGGAAAGACAAGUUAGGUUGCUUAUCAGUGUAGCAUAUCAAAGUGAUUUUGGAAGGCUGCAAAUAAUGUAAGUCUUUUUAAAGAUCCUUAUUUUUGUAUGUGCACAACUCAACUAGACACCGAGUCCAGGAACAGAUACAGUCAAAUGUUAGAGUCACAGAACAUCCCUGUAAAUGUUGGGCAGCAUCCCUGCUGAUGGGAGUUAAUAUAACCCUCCCUGGCUGUUACGACAGAGAACAGACAUUUCUGCAUCCUCUUGAAAAGAGAGAACUUGUAACGUUUCAUUAAAGGAUGCAUUUGAAAAGAAUGACUAAUUAUUAUACUAUGGAAUUUUUAAAUUUUGGUCCCUGACUUACGUAUGUGGAAAUACAUGAAAAUUGAUGCUUUUUACAAUAGUGUUGGGAUUCUGGUGUCCUUGAAAUUUCUUCUUAAUAAGUAUUUCUUAAGACCUAAGGUUUCUUCUUAACAAGAGUCCUUCUAUUCCCUACACUUUUUUUUUUUUUAGUCCUUCCCUUUUCCACUCUUAGUCCAGUCUCAUUCUUUUCCAUUUUCCAGGAUCCAUAGCAUUCUCUGGUAUAGCAUCUGUUUUCUAGAGCACUCAGCCUGUCUCUCCUGUACUCUACUGUCCAUUUCCAGUUUCUGUUAAUUCCUUCUUCAAUCUCUUUGCUAUUUAAAUUCCUAUAAAAUAUGUCCCUAUAACGAGCUUUUUCCUUGCUCAUAGAAGUGGCUGAAUUUCUCUGGUAAUUUUCUGAUUUUUUUUUCUGAAAUUUUCUAAAAUCAGUCUGAGUUUGAAAUUUCCUAGAAACUUUUGGUCCAAAUAGUUCCAGUUUUAUAAAGUUAUGAGAAACAGAAAAUACAACUUUGUGAUGGUGUAGUGGAAAUGCUAAGUCACAGCCUGAAGCAGUGAUUGAGCACCUGGUGGGAAGGCAGGGCCAACCCAGGGGAGCUCAGGUGCAUGCAAUGUACCUGAGUGACUGGAAGGGGUGGAGCCAGGGUGUGCCCCUUCUCAGACCUCAUUUAAUGGUUGGCAGCAGGGGUGAGGGCAUCUCAGUGGAGGUCCCUGCCUAUCUGAGGUCUUUCAAAGGUAAAUAGUCUUUCUUAUUUUGUUUCUCUGUCCAUAGCUACUGCACUUGGGCUUGUCUUCGUUUACCUCAGCAUGGGGUUGUGCCACCCUUCUACUAUCACUGUACUUUCUGUUACAUUUUAGCAUUGUAGAUGGUAAUCAUUCCAAGACUUGACCCUUUUGGUAUUGCCUUUUUUAGCUUUGCCUAAUCGCGUGUUGGACUAAUUACAUAAUUUCAUUGAAAUAGCUUGUCCUUGUUAUUCUGAAAAUUAGUAGCAGUGUCACUGAUUAUCACUGUUUGUUGUUUGUUUGUUUUCUGUGUUUUCUAUAUAUUCAUGUAGAUAACUGAUUUCAAAAUAUCUGUGUUUUAUAUCCAAGUGUAAACAAACUCUUUUAGACAGAAGUGUGUGUGUGUGUGUGUGUGUGUAUAUAUAUAUAUAUAUAUAUAUGUAAAUGAUAAACUGAGGACAGAGCAGAAAUGACACUUUUUCAUUACUAUCAAUACAUUCUUCUCUUUAACAAGAGGAUGGGGUGAAGUAGGUUCUUUUGAUGUUAAUUCUAUUUAAAAUUACUUUGUAGGGUCAUAAAUUAACAUUAAUAUAAAGUGUGAAAACUGAAGUUUCACUUUAAUGCUGUACAUUAAGAUUUAAUGACCUAGACUUAUUUACACCUAAAUUAGUUUUUUAAUGGUCUAAUUAACAAAAUAUAUCAGUUUGCCUCUUCAAAUUAAGCCAUUCUGUGAGUAGUAUUUAGUCAUUUCAAAUGCUUAAUAAAAGAUGAAAGCCUUCCAUUAUUUUUAGUGAGUACUAUUCUAGCAAGCUGUUUUAUCUUAACACAUCAGAAAAUUCACAUUCAGAAUAAAUCCAAAUUGGGAGGAAUUAAAUACAAAAUGUAGAAUUUUAACUGGAUUUAUAUAGGGGGGGGAAAAAAAAAAAGACAUAUUUAGAUACUGGUAAGCUUCAGAAUGAAGAAUGUUAAGUCUGAGGAACUGCAGUUUCCAGAAAAGGAUUCUGCUUAUACUUCUGAAGUGCUAAAUGUCCAGACUGUGAAAUGAGAAAUACGGUCUUGUUGGCAGUGAGGAAAAAUGAGACCUUUCUCUUGAUUGUUGAUCUCUAGUGGCUCAAGUUCAGUUCUAUGGGUUUGACUUUCUUAGAAAUUAAAUUACGAAAGACUUUUAGCUGAUUUUUAAGCCUUCUUUCCAGCUGUGUUCUCUAGGAUUCAGUUUACAUUGGAAGAACGUGGUUUAUUCGUUCUCUUAAUAUUAUUGUCUUUUAUUUGGAAGCUUCCAAGUACUUUGUAGAGAUAAAUGUUAUCAUCUUUUUAUGGAGAGCAGGAAGCUGGGAUAGAAAAUGAUACAGGACUUGCCCAAAAUCAGAGAAAGUCAGUGACAGGCUCAAUUCAUUCUUAGGUGUUUCUUAUUAACUUGGCAGAGAGUAACAUUUCUAAAGUGCAAUGAUAAUAACUUAUGCAAGCGACAAACGUCAAGCAGGAGAGGACCCCUACUGUUUUCUGCUGGGGCUGCUUGCAUGAAUCGGCUUGAGCAUUCAGAUAAGGUAUUUUCAGGAUUUAGGCUUUACAUAUGAUGGAGAAUUGAACUUUAAAUAGAUUCCCAAUUCUUUGUGCUUCCCAUUAUCCUGCAUUGCCUCUCAGCCUUGAAAUAGGGCGUAUCAGACAGCCAGAACUGAGCAGACAACUGGAAGGGGGAAGAGUGUCUCCUAUGAAUUAAAUCUAAGGACUGACCAUCAUCCCCUCCCCUCCUCCCCAAAUCAUACGCUUCAGUUUCAAUAUCCUUCAUACUUUGAUAUCAGUCCUGUGAUUCUAUUUUGGUUUGUCUUCUGAUUUUUUGAACUCCCAGGGUUGGCUGCACUGACAUCAUCUCUAAAUUUGGUGGAAAGAAAGAUGAAUGCUCUUAGGGUGAAGGCGCCUGAACAGCAACAGCUGCUGAUCUGCUCAGCCAACACAGUCUAUUUUAUCAUAGUCUGAGUUUAAAGGUUUCUCAACUAUAUUUUUAGCAUGUUAAGUGAAAGUUCAUUCCUCUUUUGACUGAGCUGACUGUACCGUUAGUGAAGUGUACUGCUUGUUUUGCAAAAUAAUAAAGAUGGUUAAUUUUGUGAUAUACUUGCAGGUGCAAAAUGAGAAUCACUCCAACUUCUAUUAUGUUAUAUUCAUAGUCAGAAUGUUCAGAAAACAGACCUGCAUGUAUGAAAUCAUAACCAUCUCUGCUUUAAUGUGCAUUACAUCUUUUAGAAAGGAUUAAAAAAAAAAAGUUAGUUGAUUCUCCUGUUAGGGCUGGAAAGUUAUGCGAUGGAAGUAAAUAGUAUCUAGAAUGUAGCACGUUCCCUAAUAUCAGAAGAGAUGCUUCUGUUUAUAAGUUCCCAGAUAUCUCUUGAUAGGAACAACAGGUCAGUAGUGCAACUUUGCUUUUAGAACCAAGCUAAUUUGGAGUUAUCACUGUGUGACACUCAUCACCCCAUAUAGAUGUGUAUCUGGUGAAAUGGGAAUGGAGAGGGAAAAUCCUAGUUCUUGUUAGAGUUGAUAGGAGUUUACAUGUUGGUUGUGUGGGAUCAGGAUUGCACACAGUCUUUUACUGGCCUGGGGUCUCCCACCUACUUGCGGGUUCAUCCCACAGCUGGUAUCAUCACAGUCUAUUCGUUGUAAUUCUUGAUGCCGUUCCAGUUGUUUUGCAACUGUUAUGAACUGAAGAGUAAAAGAGAAAUCUCUGGCAAUGUCUUGUCCAUUUAGAUGGAAAUGUCUUUAGGAACAAGGACUGCCUUUUACUGUUUGUUGCUAUAGCGCCUAGCACAAUAGGGGUCUGGGGCUUAGUUGGAAUCAGUGCAGUAUGCUCAUCGCAGUGAUAACUGUUCCUGAGGAGACAGAAAAAUACAACAGCUGCUUUGUAAUGCACUCAUGCACCAUAAUGGAAUAAAACAAUUUAACAUAGAAUAGUCACAUUAUGUAUGUGACAUGAUGUAUGCAAAGGCUUCUCACCCACUAAAGUAAUCCUUCUUGUAGCACUGAUGAUCUUGCAGUAACCAAAAUGAUUUUACAGAUCCCAAAGCUCUCUCUUACACAUAAAGAUAGCAUGUUCCCAUGCACUCCAACAUACUAAUGUACUUAGGGAAAUACAGCUACAAGUGAGAGGAAACGCAGAAAAUACCUGCAAGAGCUUAAGAAGAUAAAAAGGCAGAAAUUUGCCAUUUAGCAAUGCUUAAUUAGAAAACUAUGUUAUUGAAAACAAAAUUUAUUUCUCAGGAAGCUCCGUGGGUCAUCUCCCCAAGCUCACUAAACACAGGCAAAUCUCUAUUACUUGUUGCUCUGCUACGAAUCUGUGAUUCCAAGGCAACUUACAGGCUGCCUGCAGCUGAACCUGAAGAUCAAAUACCUUGUAAGCACUUUUGGUUGAUUUGGCAAAUUUCUGAUGUCUCUGGCUCAUGUUGGGGCUUUUGCAGCACGGUCUCCCCUCUUCACUGUUAAAAAUGGUUUAAUUUUAGUAACUACUGUCCCAAACCGUAGCCUGUGAAGGUGGAAGCCUGGCACUUCAAGGAAAGUUUGACCAGUGGGAGCAACCACAACACUGGGCACUGUUGGUACCAAGAAUGCUGGUUAAGAUGUGCCUGUACCUAUUUAUGAGCUUCCUAAUCUAAUUUACAUGAUAAACAGACCCCAGGAGCCCUGAGGUUCUCAAAUCUGUUGCAUUCACAGUGGGAUGUUUCAAAGGCUCAUCCAGAAUUUCUACAUUUUUUUCCAUUUGUUUCAGACAAAAUAAUCAGCACCAAAAUAACAUUUUUCAAAUGUAAAAAAUAAAUAAUUUUAAAAAAAUUUUAAAAAUCACCAUUUUAAUUACCUUUAGAAAUUUUGAAAAUGUUCUGUGUUUUUAGUUUAACUUUGAUUCAAAACAGAAACGUGGAACAGAGAUCUUGAAUGUAAGUGACAUCAGCUCCACUGGGGGUGGCCCCCCACUCUGGCUUCUCAGGCCAGCUGCUUCACAUGAGCUCCUAGCACCAUUCCAAACUUGUUGUACUUGGAGGUUUACCACCUAAGGUGGUUUCAGUUGGUUUUUCUUAGGCUGCGAUACCUGGCAUGCCUGCAGUGGGAAGCUAAUAAUGGCUGGCAGUUAACUGUUGGUAGUUUAUGGCUUAUAGUGGAGCUGUUAAAUUUUCUGUAACCUUCAGGGGAAAAAAUGCUUUUUAAGUAUAAUUUCUCUGUUUUAUAGUGUGAAGGUGUGACGAAGUGCAUGCACACUGUGCUCAGUUAUGAUGUGUGCGUGGUACUAAGCUUUGUGACUCUUACAGCAAAUUUCCCUUUGCAUUCACAGCUAAAAUCUUCCCUCAUGACAGAAACAAUGAAAACAUUAUGUAAUUGUGUGUGGUGAAGAUGCUUCCUACUACCUGUAAAAAUGAUUUGUACCUGUAAAAAUGUUUGUUGCAUCAGAGUUAACAUUGAAUGGUGCUGUAAAUGUUGCUACAUCUCCAUGUAGACAAGAUAGAAUGGCAAGCUGCAUGUACAAGUCAAUUGUAGGCAUAUUUACCUGGGGUUCUCCCAUGGGGUGCCUUCGUACCAAGGCAUGCUUUGGUCUGAAGUACCUGAGAAAACAAACAAAUGUGGUAAUCACAUAGAAAAGAGUACUGAGUAUUGAAUACUCAACAUUAGCCUUCUGGCUGCAUUAGGACGGUUCCUAUGUGGUGAAGUGUUUGCAGGAUCAGGAGGUUUCCCCCUCCCCCCCCCAACUGUUCUGCAAGAGUUAUAUUAAUGAACAGUUAAUCUGGGAAUUAUUCUAGCAGAUUGUGUGCAGGGAGAUCAAAAAAGAAAUGGCACUGGUGGUUUUGUAUAACGAGUGAGGUGUCAGUUCUGUGCACUGAUCUGAGCACACUGAUGUCUAACAAGAGGAAAGUUGUAUGCUGGGGGAAAGAGAGGGGUGGAAAAAAAAGUUUGAGAUGGUAUUUGUUUAAAGCAAGAAAUCAAUCAUGUGGCUUUUGUAAAUGAGGAUAAAACUACUCUCUCCAGCUGCAUACAAAUGGGAGAGCUUCUCAGACAUUAAAAUGGAACUGGGACUUUCAAGCACUUCACUCAAUAUGCAGAAAAUGAUACGGGAUGUUGACAGCUUUUCUCCAAAAAGAAGACAGCUGUGGGGGUCCUUUUAUUAGAUUGCAUAAAGAAUCCUGAAGUGAAGUUUUCCCAAGUAAAUAGGCAAAUAUUCAAUAAAACAAUCAAGUACUGUUUUUAUUUCGCUGUUCAGUAUGAAGUUUGUUACAUUUCCAGCAAAUAAUACACAAAACCAAUCCUUUUUUAGGACUGUGGGAAGUACUCACAUAUGACAAAUGGUGAUUGGUAUAGAGAUGUGCUGAGCUGGUAAUGUCUGUGUUCUCCAGAGCCUGUGAAUCAUCUGAUAGUGCCAGUAAGAUGUUCAAGUAGAACAAUAUUUUCCUUUUCCAUUUAGCAACUUCCUGCCUUCUGCCCUAGAAACAGGGCAGACAAAUCUCCUUAAAAUCAGAAAUGACCCCCUGUGAAACCACAAAUCCUGUCUGUUCCCAUCCUCUUUCUAUUUCCCUGUAUGAACUAUAUAUAUUGCCCUUGUUCUUACACAUGCACCCUAAGCAGUGAGCUGAAUUCUGGAUUCAAACAGAAUUACGUGCUAGCUUCUAGCUUACUUGAAACUGUGUUAUCCCCAUCUCUUCCUGGCUGACUGUCUCUGAAGGCAACUCUUUAAGGUGUAGAAGCAAAAUGACUGUCAGGGAAGGUCAUAGGAACUGCCUCUUCCAUGUUCCAGUUAGCUGCUAAAGAAAAAAAACUUAUUCUAAAGUAGUUCUGUAUCUUUUCAUUUUCUGUUUGAGUCUUUUCCAGAGAGAAAAGAAUAGUUUAUUCUGUUGAAAGUGAUAGCUGUACCUUUCAUCAAGUAUUUAUGAUCCUUAUAUGACCACAAAACAGUUAAUAGGUGAACAGACUGAGAUACGAUAGAACAUCAGCAAAGAGAUAAGGUAUAAAUCUGACAGGCGAAGCAUGGAGAUGAAGAUCAGCCUAGUAGCUCUUAAUUUUCAUUUCCACUCAAACUUCAACAAAGAUGAAGUACUGCUCCAAGAAGCAGCUGCACUUUUCUUGUGGUUUACUUGGCACAGACUCAAGAAGGGCCUUUGCCUUUCAGAGGAGGGAUGCUUCUUCCCAAAAACCUUCUGUAUUAUCCAUCUUGUUCUUUCCUAUCUUAGUCAAUUUCUGGAAAUCAAGCAUACCAGAGAAUUCUUAUUUGUCUUUCUGUUUGCUUGUAGAGCUACAAUUAGGAGAGGUAACCCUUCUGGCUUGGCCUCCGACAAGUUAUUCCACUUGCUUAUUCUUUGUCUUCUGAAAUACAGACGAUUCUCUUUGCCACAAAGGCCAGCUGAAGAUUAUCCUGUUCUCCCUAACUGGUUGAUUUUUGUUUCUUUAUCUGUCAGCAUUUAAUGAAGGGUUAUUCCCUAUCUUAAUUUGCCAGUACCAAUUCUUCGUCAUAUCUCUCCUAACCUCUUCUGUCAUGUUUACCCGAGGCCCAGACUUUGCCCUGUAGCUCAGCAAGGUGCAACCUGUUCCCUGACUUGCCUUUCUCAUCUGUAUCCCCAGAGCUAAAACCAAGAAGCUUUGGCCACUUUGUUGCCACCUUAUUGAAUCUUAUGCAGUAUUUCUGCAGGGGUUUCAAUGCUACCUGGGACUUUGCAGUACUAGGAUUGCAUAAGUAUGUCAUGAAAAUACUGAAAGGAAGGGGAAUAGGUUGCAGUCAAGUUGCCAACAAACACUGAAUAAUGGAACUAGAAAAAUGCUGAGAGUCACUUAAAGCUGGAAGCUAACAUUAACAUCUUUAUUCUAUAAUUACAUGGUAUACUCAACGGUUCUUAUUUUUGGCGGGUGUUGUGCAAUAAAGAUGCAUUAGAGUAAUUAUAUUGUAAUGACAGCUCAUGAGUUAAAGGUGUUGUGGAUCUUGUUAGUAUACACAUCCGAAAUUGUUUGGAGCUGAUUUGGGAGGUGUAUCCACAUGGAAUUUGAUAACACUGAUAUUGUAAUUAAAGCUGAGGAGAUGGGGUUUGUACUUAUUUCCUACUGCUGCCUGUGAAUAUUAAUUAGCUCAUGUAAUCACCUGACCCUAGCAAUAAUCAACUCUGUUAGUCAGAGCAGGAGGGAAAAUGUUAAUUGCCCACUAAAUAUUUAUUGAGGAAGCUGAGAUUAAAACAGCCCAGUUGUAAUGGAGAACAGAGCAAAAAAGAACAGAAUCCUUCCAGUCUCUUCCAGCGUCUGCUUCAUGGAGGACAAGGACGCUUGCACCACGAAGAAGACAAAAACACACCUGAUUUGGCACACAAAUGAGAAUUAUAGUCUAAAGAGAUCUCAGGUUUCUGAUGACAGCUGAGAUGACUUUUUGUUGCUUGUAUUCCUGCCAGCACAGGCUGUAAGGAGGAGGGGUGAUCCCAAAAGGCAGAAAAUGUAGAUCUGAGCUGAAGGGCAUUCCUAAGUCUGGACAUCCUGGAUAUAAACUUAUGUGACUGUUCCUGAGGGCUUCAGCAUCACCCUCAGAAGAGGAAAAUAACACUUCAUCACUUGCCAAGAGAAGGUAUGUGGGGAAAAUCUUGUCUCUUCUACCAGAGAAAGCCCUAAGAAUUAAACUAAGUAAAACUGAAAAGCCUAUCCUCAAGACAGAGUACAUAAGUAAUAAGUGUAUUUGCCUGGCAAUGCAAUCCCUUUCACAGUUCACACCAAUGGUGUAGAGUGAGCUUUGGGGAUACCAAGGAAAAAGGGGUUUCAGAUAGAGAUUUGGAUGCUUCCUUUUUAAAGAUGGCAGUUUUUAAAGCCAUUGAGAAAAUGAAGACCUGUCUGUACCUGUAGCAUAGUUUGAUAGCUCUGUUUGUCUCCCUGUUAGGUUCUGGUCUUGUUUGCUGCAGCAGCAGUCUUCCUAAUGGUUUCCUGAUAAAGCUCAUUAGAGUGUUCAGAUUUUUGUUCUUCUCAAAGCUCCUUCGGCUCUUCCCAUCACAAUCCCCUCCCCAGUCACAAGGCUCUGAUCACCUGUGGUAUAUAGCCUUCAGAGUCUGUGUGAAGGGGCAGGCUGUGCUGGAAAUGUGGUGCAUACUGAAUCGCUUCAGGGCUGGCUAGGCAGUAAUUCUCAGAAGAGUUGGCAGAGCACGGUGCUGCUGUAUGCUGGUGCCUUGCUGCUGCUCUGCUGGAGAUCCGUGAGCAGCAACAGCACUGCAAGUCCUUUCUUCUUUCCUGACAGCGCCGCAGUACCUGUAUCUUAAUCAGUCAGUGUCAGACAGUGUCACAGGCUCCGAAUGCUUCUCUAAGCAAAGCACAGCACAAAUACCUCCCUGCUGCUUGUAGCUUAGGUUACCAUUACCAGACUAAGCUCCUGAUAUAACAGUUAAAUGCUCCAGAGCACCUGAAAUCCUCAGGCACGUUGGUGCCAACACGUGUGCAGAGCAAGGCACCCCUCAGCCCCACACCAGAAGGUUUCUGUGCUCUCGUGAUUCGCACUGCAGCUGCCUCUCCAGUAGACAGGGAGACAGCACAGGUGGAGACAGAGCUGACAAAAGAUUUCUGGUGUGGCUGAUGCCAUUUCAGUCAUGUACAUUAUAGAGAAUGAGGAAAUCUUGUGUAUCUUAUAUCAAAAUACUAUGUGCUUCUCAGCAUAUCUGAUUUGUAACUUUCCUGAAUGGCAUGAUUGAAAUCAGAAAGGACCAAGGGGGAAACCUUUCCAAAAUGAAACGGUGACAUAAAUAAGAGUUUUAAAGGAAGCAACUGAGUAGCUGACAAUAGGUAGUAAUUGUGGCUCCAUCAAAGUUAGGGUGGUUUACUGUUCCCAGCAGAGAAUCUAGCAUCAAAGGGAAUCCUAAACCUGAAACACUUGGAAAGAAGUGAGUUAUCAGCAAUACAAGGUGAGUCCUGUAAAGAACAAAGAGAACAUUUUGUGAGCAGGACAGCCUGCUCUGCCCCUACUCAGAGGCAGAGUGGUCUUCCCUGAGCACGCUGAGGUUAAGAUUGGGCUUUUAGGUCUUUUGUUGUGUUUACGUUUUCCUCAAGGCUUUGUACUAUUGAGGUAUGGGGAAAUGGGGCUUUAUUUUUCAAAGGGUCAUUUAAAUUGCAUCUGUUCAGAGGAUAUUGCCAGAGAGGUCUUCAAGUUCCCUAGGUUAGACCUCUUGUGUUAACAGAAGAAUCUGCUGAACCUUGGUAUCAUAGGCAUUGAAUAUUUACAGCAGUUUUAUUGAAAUUUUGGUGUUGAAAUACUUUACUGAACAACAGCCAACAAUCAUAAAUUUCAGUAGCUUGAAUUUUAGUUUGUCAAUUAUCUUUCGAGUGUUCUUCUGAUGCUGUAUAGCCACUUGUGUGUGGAAGAAAAAUAACAUUGCUUGGAGCUCUUGCCUAUGUUUAAUUAACGUGGAAGUGCAGAGGGGUGACGGUAACUUUACACUAGGUGUUCCAAUUUGGCUGGGUCAGUCUGUGCACUAAUAGAACUAUCUUCAUGUGUAGAGGAAGGCAGGCGGGAUUUUACUUUUGUCUUUGAUUUUCAUUGACAAUAUUCCUUCCGCACCCUUUAGACCAUAAGCAUUCACCCGUUUCUGGGGCUUGGUUACAAGAGUGGCUCAAUGUGGUAUAUCCUCCGCAGCGUUAAAACCAAUCAUACUCAGAUCUUUCUACUUGAUGGUAUGAUAACAAUUUCAAGAUGUCUCUUUCCACACGUAUUCACAAAAGGAUGAAGAAAUAGUGGUCUUUUUAUUAAAUGCAAAAGGCUAUCCACCCAUCUGGGCUGUUGUCGAAUUGAGAACUUGUUCAGAAACAAGAUAAUCAGUAAAAACAGUAUGCUCAGUUUUCAUCUUUGAAAUCUUACACAGAUUGUGAGUAAUUUGGGAAUGAGAGAGAAGACAAAAAUGCUUGAAGACUGCAUAUUCAGAGGUCUCAGCUUUAGCAAAAUGUUGUGGCUUUAAGACUCUGCCUUAUAAUUCACUUCAGCUACCCCAGGAAGUAAAAAGACGUGUUUCAGAGGCUGACUGCACAGGUCGUAACCUUCUAUACACAAUAUAUUGAGCAAUUCCAUCAUUCUUGCAUUGAAAGUGGAUUUAGACUGACAUAGCAGAAUAGAAAAAAUGCUUAAUAAACUAGGAGUUUUAUUACACACACACACACCAUCUUGUAGGUAUGCAUUCAGCAAAGAAUGGGUGUGACACUGUAAUAGGUACACUAAAAAAGGCAGUCUGUUCACAUUAAUAUCUGCAUUCAAUGCACUGAGAUUUAAAAAAAAAACAACUGUUCUCACUUAUUCUGUUAUUUAUCCUGAUCAGCUUUCUGUUUGUUUAGAGAGCCUGUUAUGCAAAGUGAUAAAUAUGAAAUUUAAGAGACAGAAUUUUUUUAUGAGUAGUGGUAGAUGCUGUGCUCUGAGCCAGGUAAGGGAUGGAGGAGGCACUGUCCUGGCAAGCAUUGGUCUGCGUGCGUGUCCUCUGGUGAGGAGAGAAACUUUCCGUUGCGCUGCCCCUCCAGCUUCCUCAAGAGCAACCAGGGUGAGUGCUUCCAGGGGCCGACUCAUCAGCCCACGUGCUGAAUCAGCCCAAGAAUUUUUAGCUACAGGAGAAAAAUGGAUCACACCAGAGGACUUUCUCCUUGAAGAGAGCUUCAGCCUGUUCUAAUCAGAGAUGCAAAUUACUGAGGUAUUCUGGGCUCCUUUAACCAUUCUCAGCAUUUUAUUGCAAAAAGAAAUGGAAAUGAUGGUCACGCACUCUUCAUCUUAGGCAAAAUCACAGUUAACCCUUUGAUGUAAUUAAAAUAUGUGGGGAGGUCUCCUAGACUUUCAUCUCCUGGAUAAGAAAAGGAAGAAAACCGUAGUAGACCCUAGGAGAAAGAGAAGCCUUCUAGCUGCCUCCUGCCCAUUUUCAGGUGCUCACUUGAGCUGUAAGAGCUGUGGGCCAACUUCACCAACAGAUCAGUCUCAACUUUUGAGACUCUUGGGCCCAGGUGACCCUCUCAAAAUCAGGACCAAGGAUAGGAUGGUGAGUUUUAAAUCCAGGGCUUUAAGGCCCUGACUGUUGAUUAGAACACUGAACCAUCCUUCCAUUAUAGAGAAGUUCCUCACCAUAAGUAAUUCUUCAUUAUCAUCACUUGUUUGCUAAUUGCUUUUGCUUUGCAGUCUGACUUUCAUUAUCAUGUUGUAUAACCACUGCUACCUUACUUUUCAACCAUAUGUUGUCAGUUGUACUUUUUCUUCUUGUCAUUGCAUUAUUGUCAUGCUCUAAGCUGUUUAUGAGUUUUGAAAUAUGAAAUUUUGGUCUUGCUCAGUUUUAAGCUAACCCUGCUGCUUAAAUGAAGGAAUAUCACAUUUGCCAUACAGAGAUUUAUUUAAAAGCCAACUGUGAAUUACACUGAGGAAUCUGCAGUAAACCAUGACAAUAAAUAAUGAGAGAAUGUUUGCCUGGAGGACUUGUCCCUAAUGAGGUUUGGUCUUAAAUAGGCAUUCUGUUUGGAAAUCAGAUACCUUUUGUUUCUUGAGGUUUUCAUGUUUCUCCCUAUUAAGUAAGGUUUUCUGAGAGAUUUUGUUAGUAAUUGAUCAUGGGGUCGGUAAUGGUUAUACUUCACAGGAAAAUGUGUGACUAUGAAAAUACUUGGGGGGGUAGUGGGGGGACAGAAGGGAAGUUAUGUCCUACUUAUGUGCAAUUCCAAUUUCUGAUAUUUAUUUGCUUGUUUGUAACCUAAAAGUCUUAUCAAGUCUUAUCUUCCAGUUUUGGAAGGAGGAAAACCCAACAUUUCUUAAAAUGAGAUUAUGUUGUUAAGUAUAAAAUAUUAUUAUUAGGGUUCGUAUUUCUACUCUGAAGUGCACCUCCUUAUAUUGUUACAGUCUUGUGUAGGAGCUGUUCUCAAACGAUCUUUCCUCAGUGACAGUAGUUCUCCCUCCCAAACUCUCUUUCUUUCUACGUGCCAACCUUGCUGUCUGAUUGUUCACUUACACACAGGAUCUAUGCUCCUACAGAGUUACAGCAGUGACUUGGACGACAAUGUGUCCCAGGUAUUCCAGAAGGUCAAUCCUUCAUUGCUUUGUAAGGUACACAAGAACAAUUUUCCAGCACUGUAUUUUGGACAACUCUAUUAUAGGAGAAUACGUGGAAUCACAAUAGAGGUAUAUAUGGUGCAUACACAAAGAAAAGCUGUAGGAAACGAUGCAUGAUCUCUUUUGGGAGAGGUAGGUGUGGUUCUCCUAACUCUUUGUAAACCUUGGUGCUACAUAUCUUGAAACCGUACAUUAAUUUCUGGUCUGUAAAAAGUAGUGUGCAUUUCCUUAAAUCUUGGUACAGGAGCAAGAAAUGCACUUUGUAUUUGAGCAUGGGAAAGCAUGACAAUGACCACCUAGAGACCUGGUGUCUCUCUCCAGUUCCUUAGGUCUGGAGACUUAUUUGCUGAAUGCUUCUUAGGUACCAGCAGGUAAAUAGAUAGCCUGGUAAUGGGAUAGAAAGUUACCAGAUCUUGAAAUUCUCCUGUGCACGAAUUCCCACCAAUUAAAAGGUAGCAGGAGUAUAUGGCAGGCCACAGUUAUCAAAAAGCAACAUGUUUGACAGAUGGUUUUGGUUGGAUCUUUCAGGCUAAAUUAACUUCCACCCUGAUUUCUAACAACUGUCUGGGAUGAAGUCCUCCUCUGCUCAUUAGCAGCUUGUUCCCAUACUGGGCAGAACUCUCCUUAAAAUAGAGGAAAGAGGGGAACAAUAUUAUUAAACUCCUAAAUUAAAUAAGCUCUCACAUGAUCUAAAGCAGCCCCACCAUUUACUUACUGCAGUGAGCAGCAUGUCCUCAAGUUAUAGAGAAUGACAGUGGAAAAAUCUUUACCUCAGCUGCACAUCUGAUAGCCUUGAGGCAGAAGACAGGUUUGAAAAGCAUCUAACCCUUAGCUGUGCAGUGUCUGGCUAUUCAGGUGGUGCAGGUAGUGCAUGAUUUGGCAGCCAAGUUAAAAAAUUCAAGGCAAAAAAAAAAAAAAAAAAAAGCAUUGCUCCUUUCCUCCUCACCUUUGGCAACAUCUGCUUGAGUGACAAAGUGAAAGAGCAGUAGCUCUACACUCCAAAACCUAGUUUUGUUUCCGACCUGCAUUCAGCAUGCUUGGUAACUCUCUGCUUUGCACUGACCCAACUGUUUUAACCUCUCACAGCGCACAGUACUACAUAAUGUAAUACUCAAGCAAAAGAUUGAAAGAGAAUGCAGCAAGCUUAACAUAUCCCUCUGAUUACUCUAUAAGGGAGAGUUAGAUUCUUUAAAAAAAAAAUAAAAAAAAAAAAAAAUCCCUGGUGGCCUCAUUGUUUUCCAGGCAUCUUUCUAGAUAAAUUUUUCCUAUGGUAAAAUCAUUAUGAAGUAGAAAUACAGUCUCUCCAAGGGCUACCUUGAAAACCUAGUCUAAUAUGAAGAGCUCUAACACAGUAAUGAAUCCUGUAGGCAAAAUAGGGCUUUAUAAAGUGAAGAAAUGGGAGAAAACUUUCCAUUAGGAGAAUGUUGUUUUUGACUGAACUGUAUUUUGAGAUGUUACAAAGCGAGGGUCUCUCAGAAGGCUGGAACCCAAACUCUGAACUGAAAAACACUUGAACUUUGUGAAAUGUGAGCUCUUACCUGCGUUGUAUUUUGGAAAAAGUAAAGGUAGUGGUGAGUAAUGCUGAUGCUUGAAUAUCUCUGAAAUUUAAAUCUGGACCUAGUUUCAAUUUUUGCCUCUUCAUGGCAGCUGCAGCAUUUUUCUGCUUUCAUUGCUUCAGAGGCACAGCGCAUGUUCUGAGAUAAAAUAGGCUGUGAGUAUUUUACUGCUACAAAGGAAGAAUGUCCCUUUCCAGUCCCCUACAGCUGCAUCAGGGCCUCUGAUUGGUGGCAAAAUAACAAGUAUACUUCCACCAGAGAAGCAUAAAGGGAAUCCAGGCUCAUAUGCCCUCACAGAUUUCUCUGAGAACACUUGGUAAUUUUUUAUAUGUAAGGAUAGCACAAAGACAAGCCCCUCCUAAAAGAAAACUUGAAACCGGACAAUGAGGUAAAAAGGGAGUGAGGAAAAACUAAUUCUUAGUCAAAAAAGCAAAUUUCUUUUUGAGAGCAAGACAAAACAGGUAGUUAAGUUAGAGAUUCAGUGAGUUUAGCAAGUUACAGAAGUAUAGAUACAGUACUGAAAAUUGCAGACACCUGGAAAAGAGAGAUUCUUUAUUUUCUCAGUUGUAACCAUUUGUAAGAUGGAUUUGAAACUAACAGUGCGGCUUACUCUCCUAUAAGAUAAUGCCUAACAUGGAACAGCCAUAACAAAACUCAGAAAGCACACUGAUCAAGUUGGACUGAGUCUUAUAGUAAUCAAACUAUAAAAAUAGGGCUUUCUAAAUAUUUAUAUUCAUAUAAAUCAUACAUUCAUUCAUAUAAAUCUUUAUAUUUUAAUCAACUAAAAGUAAGCUAUAAAUUCCCCAUUUAGUUUAAAUUAGAUCUGAGUGUAAUGGAAAAUUUUGGACAUUUGAAACUGCAGCAUGUCUACUACCUACAAAGAGAUUGUAACAUGAUUCAGUGCCUUAACAACAAAAUAUAAAACAACUCCUAACAACUGUACUUCAGAAUUGUACCUAAUUUCUUUCCAGCCAAGCAAUAAUCUCUGAGAAUUAACCUAUUUAAGUAGUAAAAUUAUACAGGAUGAAUGUCAAAGAUCAUCUCUGGUCAUUCAUUUGCAGUUACUGUAGCAGAAGUGGGUUUUGUGGCUUAGUUUGUUUUUGUUCCUUUUUAUUUUUUUUCUUUGCUUGUUGGCUUUAUUUAAUAACUGCCACAAGGUGCCCUGCUGUCCAGGUAUCAGGUUUAAAGUUUUUUUUUUGUUUUUUUUUUUUUUUUUUAAUUUAUUUUUGGCUGAAGAGGUUGGUGGCACCAACACCACACAAAACCGUUUAUGAUUUUAUUUGUUGCUGGUGGUAUUUAGUAUUGUUUGUUUGUUUGUAAGCUACGCCUAUGAAAAGCUCUGAUUCUGUGCUGCCAGAAUGCCUGUAGAAAGCUUUGUGACUGCUUUGCAUCAAAUUUUAUUUUCUCAUAGGUGAUGGUGUUUUUCUUUGGGCAGGGCACAACCACACAGAUAGCAUACUAAGGUGAGCCUGGGGUAAGUACACCAAGAGUUGACAUUUGUCACCUGCUGCUACCACGAGGCAAAAAAUGGCAUUCAGGAGGCAGUGGUGAGAGCAUGAGCAUGUGCUUAAACAAAGCAUUUUCUGAAGAUGUAUGCAAUUUUCUGUUGCGGUGGCUUCUUUCAAUAGCCUCUUCCUGUCAUCAUGCUGCUAAGCUUGUAGUAAACACUGUCACCCCUUUUGUAACAUUUUAUAAGCUCCUUUCCACUUCAGCACUAAGAAACUCAGCUCUACUCUCUCCAGGUAUUCCCAGUUGGUUCAUAAUGUCUCUCGUCAUUCUCCUGUAAUGGAGGCAGACCAAUGGUUUUGUCACUAACUCUUCAAGAAAAUCAGAAGAGCGAAAUGGGAAAUCUGUCUUCCAUGGAAAAGAGGAAAGAUGCUAAGGGACAGGAUGUAUCCUCCUUGACAUAAUGUGGUCAAAGAGCCAGCUUCCUCACUUCUCCCUAAAGAGCUCUCAGACAACUGUCUAGAAAAGCACACAGUGUCCCCAGCUGUUAACAGCAGGAUAUACUGCAGCUCUCUAGACUGCUGCUGCCAUGUCGUUUCUGCGCCUCCAGGGUCAGCUUAGUGUAUUAAAUUAACAGUUUUCCCAGGCAAGGCAAAAUGUCUGUGAGCAGAAUGGUGCAGCAUAAUAAUGGGAUACGAGGGGAAGAUACCUCCUGAAAUAUUAGAUGUUUUGGUAAGACAAGGAAACAUUGAAGUGAUUCUGACUUACAUGACUUAGUGCCAAACAACACGUUAUCAUGCAGAAGUCCCAGCACAAUGUGCGUCUGUUUACCACCACUUAACAUUUUCAUAGCUCAUUUUAGAAUUGUUGCUUUUUUUUUUUCCACCCUUAAUAAUUUAUGAGCUUAGAAUUAUCAAUAACGUGAAGCUUCAUUACAAGCUAUCUGGAGGAUUCUCAUCUGACUCUUCCCAUUAAAUUAUUAUUCCCAAACAUGAUUUAUAUUUGAUAAGACAUCAACUGGACAUCAAUAAAAUAAUAAUUAAUGAACUAUAUCUUCAUGGAAAUACUGAGCUUAAAUACACAAGCAAAUGCAGUGUGCAGUCUGCAGGUCAGCUGUCAGAUCUCUCUGAGAAUAUUUGUCUGUUUAGUAUUUAGAAUAUGAUAAUAAACCACAAAAAUAUUUAAUUGCUAUGGUCGUCGGCUAGUUGUUGUGACAGUUGUGAACUACGCCAAACUACGAACCUGUAAGGCAGAACUGGGAAGUAACCAUGUGUUCAAUGUAGGUGAGAAGGUAAUCUCAAAACAGUACAAAUGCUGAAGAGACUUCACAUUUCCACAAAAUGAAACGUUGAAAGAAUUUUGGUUUGGGUAACUAUCUGUUUGUUUGUCUUUCCCUUAACAUUAUCUAUCGGAUUGAAAUGCUCUAUUUCUCCAUACAGAAAGUUAAAAUAAAGAAUUUUAAUGACUGAAACUUCUGCCUAAAAACAAACAAACAACAAAAAAACCCACCACAUUAAAAUAGCUUAACAUUCAACAAUGUUGUUUGGGUCUUCUGUUCCAACAAACUAUCACUCCAAAGGACAAGCUUGACCAAAUAUUUGUAUUCAGAAAGAAGUGACAUUACUUCAUCCCAGGGAAUAUCAGCGAAGGCCCUUAAUCCUAUUGCACCUCACAGCUUUGCAGUAGUGUUUAUCACUAAUCAGGGACCACUUCUGCUUACAUUUCCUCAACAUACACAGAUCCCACAUGAAUCUUAAUGGAGGAUGAGAAAGAACAGGAGUAAAAGUUUUUCUGGAUUUUUUUUUCUUAAUUUCUAGGGUUUAUUUCUUGCUUUCCCUUACUGUUCAAAUUUCAUCAGGGAUUGAACAAGAGCUUUAGAUGGACAAGGUGACCACA